rnacentral:rRNA from 1 species
UAGUCCACGCCCUAAACGAUGUAUGCUAGACGUCGGGAGACUUGUCUUUCGGUGUCGCCGCUAACGCAUUAAGCAUACCGCCUGGGGAGUACGGUCGCAAGAUUAAAACUCAAAGGAAUUGACGGGGGGCCCGCACAAGCGGUGGAGCAUGUGGUUUAAUUCGAUGCAACGCGAAGAACCUUACCAUCCCUUGACAUCCUCAGAAUGAUCUGUAAUCGAUCAGUGCCUUCGGGAACUGAGUGACAGGUGCUGCACGGCUGUCGUCAGCUCGUGUCGUGAGAUGUUGGGUUAAGUCCCGCAACGAGCGCAACCCCUAUCUAUAGUUGCCAGCACGUAAUGGUGGGAACUCUAUAGAGACUGCCGGUGAUAAGCCGGAGGAAGGUGGGGGACGACGUCAAGUCAUCAUGGGCCCUUACGGGGAUGGGGCUACACACGUGCUACAAUGGGUGCAUACAGAGGGGUUGCCAACCAGCGAUGGGGGA